UGAGUACGAGCUGCUACGGCAGCGAAGUGGGUGAUGUCAAGCUUCCAAGAAGAGCCCUAUACCCGUUAAGGCAUGACGGCCUGUACCCGAAACCGACACAGGUGGGGUGGUAGAGAAUACCGAGGGGCGCGAGAUAACUCUCUCUAAGGAACUCGGCAAAAUGGCCCCGUAACUUCGGGAGAAGGGGUGCCACCGCAAGGUGGUCGCAGUGAAGAGGCCCAGGCGACUGUUUACCAAAAACACAGGUCUCCGCUAAGUCGCAAGACGAUGUAUGGGGGCUGACGCCUGCCCAGUGCCGGAAGGUUAAGGAAGCUGGUCAGCGCAAGCGAAGCUAGCGACUGAAGCCCCGGUGAACGGCGGCCGUAACUAUAACGGUCCUAAGGUAGCGAAAUUCCUUGUCGGGUAAGUUCUGACCCGCACGAAAGGCGUAACGAUCUGGGCGCUGUCUCGGAGAGAGGCUCGGCGAAAUAGAAUUGUCUGUGAAGAUGCGGACUACGUGCACCCGGACAGAAAGACCCUAUGAAGCUUUACUGUAGCUUGGUAUGGUGCCCGGGCUCUGAAUGCGCAGGAUAGGUGGGAGGCUUUGAUCCAUUGCUUGUGGGUAAUGGUGAGCCACUGGUGAGAUACCACUCUUUCAGAGCUAGGGUUCUAACGGUCACCCGUUAUCCGGGGACCGGACAGUAUCAGGUGGGCAGUUUGACUGGGGCGGCCGCCUCCUAAAAGGUAACGGAGGCGCGCAAAGGUUCCCUCAGGCUGGUUGGAAAUCAGCCGACGAGUGUAAAGGCAGAAGGGAGCUUGACUGUGAGACCUACAAGUCGAACAGGGACGAAAGUCGGCCUUAGUGAUCCGACGGUUCUGAGUGGAAGGGCCGUCGCUCAACGGAUAAAAGUUACUCUAGGAUAACAGGCUGAUCUCCCCCAAGAGUUCACAUCGACGGGGAGGUUUGGCACCUCGAUGUCGGCUCAUCGCAACCUGGGGCUGAAGUCGGUCCCAAGGGUUGGGCUGUUCGCCCAUUAAAGCGGUACGCGAGCUGGGUUCAGAACGUCGUGAGACAGUUCGGUCCAUAUCCGGUGCACGCGCAGGAACAUUGAGAGGAUUUCUCCCUAGUACGAGAGGACCGGGAGGAACGCACCUCUGGUGUACCAGUUAUCGUGCCAACGGUAAACGCUGGGUAGCCAUGUGCGGAGCGGAUAACCGCUGAAAGCAUCUAAGUGGGAAGCCCACCUCAAGAUGAGUGUUCCCAUGGCAUAAGCCAGUAAGGUCACGGGAAGAACACCCGUUGAUAGGCUCUACGUGGAAGCGUGGCAACACGUGAAGCGGAGGAGUACUAAUAGACCGAGGGCUUGACC
rnacentral:rRNA from 1 species